AUCUAAUUAGUUGUGCCGUGUGUAAGUAUUUGAUACAUACAUAGAUGUGUAUGAAAUUAUGAAAGAAAAGUCACAUGCAUAACCUCUGCAAAAUAAUACUGUCAGUGUAAGUGUCGGUGAUAAGAAAAGAUAAAUACAAAUAAUAGAAUGGUGCAGUGUUGCGUUCCAAAGUGUAAGAACAGGUCCGAUAGCCAAAAUUGGAAAAAAACCAGCAAUGUGGACAAAAAUCGAAAAAUUACAUUUCACAGCAUUCCAAAAAAUAAUACCAGCCGCAAUUUGUGGACCGAUAUCUUAAAUCUUCCACCACAUAUUCCAAAAAGUGCACAUAUUUGCUCUGAUCAUUUUUCAAAGGAAUCUUUCGAUCAAACGGAUUAUUAACGCGAUUAAGGCCAAAUGUUUUGCCAUUGAAUGAAUGUGAAAAGCAUAUAGAAACGGAAAAAAGAAAGAAUGAUUCCUUCAUUGUAUGCCCACAAUCAUCAACAACAGAUAAAGAAACAAUGACAUCGAUACAACCAUGUACAGCAGAGAAAGCAACAAUGGUAUCAUUUAAAAGAAUUCAUAAUUCUCUAGAAAAUGUCGA
rnacentral:lncRNA from 1 species